ACUUAAAUUGAAGAGUUUGAUCAUGGCUCAGAUUGAACGCUGGCGGCAGGCCUAACACAUGCAAGUCGAGCGGUAGCACAGAGAGCUUGCUCUCGGGUGACGAGCGGCGGACGGGUGAGUAAUGUCUGGGAAACUGCCUGAUGGAGGGGGAUAACUACUGGAAACGGUAGCUAAUACCGCAUAACGUCGCAAGACCAAAGUGGGGGACCUUCGGGCCUCAUGCCAUCAGAUGUGCCCAGAUGGGAUUAGCUAGUAGGUGGGGUAACGGCUCACCUAGGCGACGAUCCCUAGCUGGUCUGAGAGGAUGACCAGCCACACUGGAACUGAGACACGGUCCAGACUCCUACGGGAGGCAGCAGUGGGGAAUAUUGCACAAUGGGCGCAAGCCUGAUGCAGCCAUGCCGCGUGUGUGAAGAAGGCCUUCGGGUUGUAAAGCACUUUCAGCGGGGAGGAAGGCGAACCUGGGAACUGCAUUCGAAACUGGCAGGCUAGAGUCUUGUAGAGGGGGGUAGAAUUCCAGGUGUAGCGGUGAAAUGCGUAGAGAUCUGGAGGAAUACCGGUGGCGAAGGCGGCCCCCUGGACAAAGACUGACGCUCAGGUGCGAAAGCGUGGGGAGCAAACAGGAUUAGAUACCCUGGUAGUCCACGCCGUAAACGAUGUCGAUUUGGAGGUUGUGCCCUUGAGGCGUGGCUUCCGGAGCUAACGCGUUAAAUCGACCGCCUGGGGAGUACGGCCGCAAGGUUAAAACUCAAAUGAAUUGACGGGGGCCCGCACAAGCGGUGGAGCAUGUGGUUUAAUUCGAUGCAACGCGAAGAACCUUACCUGGUCUUGACAUCCACAGAACUUGGCCGGGAACUCAAAGGAGACUGCCAGUGAUAAACUGGAGGAAGGUGGGGAUGACGUCAAGUCAUCAUGGCCCUUACGACCAGGGCUACACACGUGCUACAAUGGCAUAUACAAAGAGAAGCGACCUCGCGAGAGCAAGCGGACCUCAUAAAGUAUGUCGUAGUCCGGAUUGGAGUCUGCAACUCGACUCCAUGAAGUCGGAAUCGCUAGUAAUCGUAGAUCAGAAUGCUACGGUGAAUACGUUCCCGGGCCUUGUACACACCGCCCGUCACACCAUGGGAGUGGGUUGCAAAAGAAGUAGGUAGCUUAACCUUCGGGAGGGCGCUUACCACUUUGUGAUUCAUGACUGGGGUGAAGUCGUAACAAGGUAACCGUAGGGGAACCUGCGGUUGGAUCACCUCCUUACCUUAAAGAA
rnacentral:rRNA from 1 species